UCUCUCUUCUUCCUGCUCCAUUGUUAAAGAUAUGGCUUCAAUUCCAUUCCCUCCCCUUUUCCCUUGAACGGGAAAUCUGAGACCCAUAACUUAAGAAUCACGUCACCCCUCUCCUUGGCUUGCCGCUCUCCUUAUCUCCCGGUGAUUCAUUCUCCUUAUUGGAUUGUAUUUGGAUGCUGUUAAUCAGUUUGGUGGAGGAGUUGUUCCACAGCCUCAGGAAGAACAGAGGAAUGUUUUUGAAAUAAGUGUGUAGCUAAGCAUACCAGCAAAUCAAAAGGUUUUUUGAGACAGAGGGGUGCUCUGGCUAUUCCAAUAGUUUCGGUAGUGCUGGCAUUGGUACUAAUCAUUGUGUUUGCCUACUGGCGGCGUAAGAAAAAGAGCAAAACAAAAGACUGUGUGGAGAUAGAUGAACUUGAGGAAGCUAGGAGACACCCCAAGUUGCAAUAUUUCGGUCUGAGCACCAUUAUAGCAGCCAAACAAGUGCCAAUGUCAUUACAUUUGAUAAUUCAAAUCAAAUUAGUAAAGGUCAAGCCAAAUUUCAAAAAAACAGACAAGGCAAUAUUGUGGAAU